UACGUAGGGAGCAAGCGUUGUCCGGAAUCAUUGGGCGUAAAGCGCACGUAGGCGGUUUGUUAUGUCGGAUGUGAAAGCCCUUGGCUCAACUGAGGAAGUGCAUCCGAAACUGGCAAGCUAGAGUACUAAAGAGGGUCGCGGAAUUCCCGGUGUAGAGGUGAAAUUCGUAGAUAUCGGGAGGAACACCAGUGGCGAAGGCGGCUCACUGGCCCGAUACUGACGCUGAGGCACGAAAGCGUGGGGAGCAAACAGG
rnacentral:rRNA from 1 species